rnacentral:rRNA from 1 species
UACGAAGGGGGCUAGCGUUGCUCGGAAUCACUGGGCGUAAAGGGCGCGUAGGCGGACUUUUAAGUCAGGGGUGAAAUCCUCGAGGCUCAACCUCAGAACUGCCUUUGAUACUGAGGGUCUCGAGACCGGUAGAGGUAAGUGGAACUGCGAGUGUAGAGGUGAAAUUCGUAGAUAUUCGCAAGAACACCAGUGGCGAAGGCGGCUUACUGGACCGGUUCUGACGCUGAGGCGCGAAAGCGUGGGGAGCAACAGG